rnacentral:rRNA from 1 species
UACGAAGGGGGCUAGCGUUGCUCGGAAUCACUGGGCGUAAAGGGCGCGUAGGCGGCUGGUCAAGUCAGGGGUGAAAGCCUGUGGCUCAACCACAGAAUUGCCUUUGAUACUGUUUGGCUCGAGACCGGAAGAGGUUGGUGGAACUGCGAGUGUAGAGGUGAAAUUCGUAGAUAUUCGCAAGAACACCAGUGGCGAAGGCGGCUCACUGGCCCGGUACUGACGCUGAGGUGCGAAAGCGUGGGGAGCAAACAGG